ACGGGGAAGCUUGCUUCCCCGGGCGUCGACCGGCGCACGGGUGAGUAACGCGUAUCCAACCUGCCUCUGACUGAGGGAUAACCCGUCGAAAGUCGGCCUAAUACCUCAUGGCAUCGUCUGCGGGCAUCCAACGACGAUUAAAGAUUUCAUCGGUCAGGGAUGGGGAUGCGUCUGAUUAGCUAGUUGGCGGGGUAACGGCCCACCAAGGCUACGAUCAGUAGGGGUUCUGAGAGGAAGGUCCCCCACAUUGGAACUGAGACACGGUCCAAACUCCUACGGGAGGCAGCAGUGAGGAAUAUUGGUCAAUGGGCGAGAGCCUGAACCAGCCAAGUAGCGUGCAGGAAGACGGCCCUAUGGGUUGUAAACUGCUUUUAUGCGGGGAUAAAGUGAGGGACGUGUCCUUCAUUGCAGGUACCGCAUGAAUAAGGACCGGCUAAUUCCGUGCCAGCAGCCGCGGUAAUACGGAAGGUCCGGGCGUUAUCCGGAUUUAUUGGGUUUAAAGGGAGCGUAGGCCGUGGAUUAAGCGUGUUGUGAAAUGCAGGUGCUCAACGUCUGCACUGCAGCGCGAACUGGUCCACUAGAGUGUGCACAACGCAGGCGGAAUUCGUCGUGUAGCGGUGAAUGCUUAGAUAUGACGAAGAACUCCGAUUGCGAAGGCAGCU
rnacentral:rRNA from 1 species